GAUGAACGCUAGCGGCAGGCCUAAUACAUGCAAGUCGAACGGGAUCUGAGGGUAGCUUGCUACCCGAUUUGAGAGUGGCGCACGGGUGCGUAACGCGUGAGCAACCUACCCAUAUCAGGGGGAUAGCCCGAAGAAAUUCGGAUUAACACCGCAUAAUAAUACGCUAACACAUGUUGAUGUAUUUAAAUAUUUAUAGGAUAUGGAUGGGCUCGUGUGACAUUAGCUAGUUGGUAAGGUAACGGCUUACCAAGGCGACGAUGUCUAGGGGCUCUGAAAGGAGAAUCCCCCACACUGGAACUGAGACACGGACCAGACUCCUACGGGAGGCAGCAGUAAGGAAUAUUGGUCAAUGGGCGCAAGCCUGAACCAGCCAUGCCGCGUGCAGGAUGACUGCCCUAUGGGUUGUAAACUGCCUUUGUUAGGGAAUAAACCUUCUUACGUGUAAGGAGCUGAAUGUACCUAAAGAAUAAGGAUCGGCUAACUCCGUGCCAGCCGCCGCAGUAA
rnacentral:rRNA from 1 species